rnacentral:rRNA from 1 species
CCUACGGGAGGCAGCAGUGGGGAAUAUUGCACAAUGGGGGAAACCCUGAUGCAGCGACGCCGCGUGAGUGAAGAAGUAUUUCGGUAUGUAAAGCUCUAUCAGCAGGGGAGAAAUAGCGACCUUUGGGUCGCCAGACGGUACCUGAUUAAGAAGCCCCGGCUAACUCCGUGCCAGCAGCCGCGGUAAUACGGGGGAUGCGAGCGUUAUCCGGAUUUAUUGGGUUUAAAGGGUGCGCAGGCGGAAGAUCAAGUCAGCGGUAAAAUUGAGAGGUUCAACCUCUUCGAGCCGUUGAAACUGGUUUUCUAGAGUGAGUGAGAAGUAUGCGGAAUGAGUGGUGUAGCGGUGAAAUGCAUAGAUAUCACGCAGAACUCCGAUUGCGAAGGCAGCAUACCGGCGCUCAACUGACGCUCAUGCACGAAAGUGUGGGUAUCGAACAGGAUUAGAUACCCUUGUAGUC